rnacentral:rRNA from 1 species
AUUGAACGCUGGCGGCAUGCUUUACACAUGCAAGUCGAACGGUAACAGGGUGCUUGCACCGCUGACGAGUGGCGAACGGGUGAGUAAUGCGUCGGAACGUGCCGAGUAGUGGGGGAUAACGCAGCGAAAGUUGUGCUAAUACCGCAUACGUACUGAGGUAGAAAGUGGGGGACCUUCGGGCCUCACGCUAUUCGAGCGGCCGACGUCUGAUUAGCUAGUAGGUGAGGUAAAGGCUCACCUAGGCGACGAUCAGUAGCGGGUCUGAGAGGAUGAUCCGCCACACUGGGACUGAGACACGGCCCAGACUCCUACGGGAGGCAGCAGUGGGAAUUUUGGACAAUGGGCGAAAGCCUGAUCCAGCCAUGCCGCGUGUCUGAAGAAGGCCUUCGGGUUGUAAAGGACUUUUGUCAGGGAGGAAAUCACUAGUGCUAAUAACACUGGGGGAUGACAGUACCUGAAGAAUAAGCACCGGCUAACUACGUGCCAGCCGCCGCAGUAA